UGCCCUGCAGAAAACCAUGACUCCACUGGGCAGCUUCUUUCUUAACCUGCUGUCUGCUUGUUUGCUUGUGGAGAGAAAGAUUUACACUGCUGACAAAAUAAUGAGGACACAAUACAGGAUUGUUAAUUAGAUGUACAAACUGCAACACAAUAAUGUAAGAAUCAUGAAAAGGCAAAGCAAUAUGACUCUUAGAAAAAGAAUCAAGACUCAUCAACUCCUGAACACAAGUAUGACCAGUGACCUGAGAAUGGAUGAAUUUAAUCCAGAACCUGGAGAGUCAACAACACAAAGGAUGAAUGAGAAAUCAAUGGCAAUAAGAACUCAUCAACAACAUGGAAGAAAAAUAAGCAAGGAAGUUCAUUCUGAAAAAAAAAGGUGAAUUAUUAGAUAGAUUCAACAGGGCAGAAAAAGAUAACUGGGAUGGUGGAUAAAGCUAAUAACAUAACCGUAUUCAGAUAUCAAUAAAAAAAGGCAUAAGCAUGACCAUGAUGCUCAAGAAUUUGAUAAAGAUCAAGAAACUAGAGGUAAGAAUUUAAAAGACAGAAGUUCAGGUAAGCAGUAAAGGCAUAGAAAGUCUAUGCACUGAAG
rnacentral:lncRNA from 1 species